CCUACGGGAGGCUGCAGUGGGGAAUCUUUGACAAUGGCCGAGAGCCUGAUGCAGCAACGUCGCGUGCAGGAUGACGGCCCUCGGGUUGUAAACUGCCUUUAUCAGCGAGGCAAAUGAUGGUAACCUAUGCACCUGGAGCGGCGAACAACGUGACAGCAGCCGUGGUCAUACGUAGGAUCCGAGCAUUAUCCGGAGUGACUGGGUGUAAAGAGUGGCGUAGGGGGCAUAAUGAGUAGCUAGUGAAAUCUGGUGGCUCAACCAUUCAUACCAUUAGCUAAACUGUUAAGCUCGAGACCGUGAGGAGUACGUGGAAUUCCUAGUGUAGGGGUGAAAUGCAUAGAUAUCA
rnacentral:rRNA from 1 species